UGGCCGAUCUUAUCUCUUUCUCCACCCGGCCAGCACCCCAUCUUAUCUCUUAUCUCUUUCCCCCACACCACACACGCUCCCUCCGCCGCCGCCCCCUGACUUGCCGGCCGAUUUGCUCGCGCCGCCGCCUUUCCCACCAGCGAUGGCGCCUCCCACAGCCUCCUUCUAGCAUGUGGUGCUCCCCCCACGUUCCAAGCCGAAGGUGCCUCCUGAAGAUAGGACAAGAAAAGAGGGAGGCAGAUCCACCGCGACCAAGAGCAGGUCAGGCGGCGGCCAUGGCACGCCCAGAUCCGCCAGCGCCAUCGUCAUCGAGCACCUCUGCUCCGAGCGUCGGAUCCACCUCGGGCUCCAUCUACACAACCACGCACUGGCAGCCGCUGCCAUGGAAGGUUCUCUAUGUGCUUGCUUCUUCCCUUCCCAAGACGCUGUUGCUCCGACGCCAUGGAUAAUGUGCAGGACAGAGCCGCCAUAUGGUGUGCGCGGUGAUUCUUUUUCCACUCUGAUGCCUUCCGCGCUACGUGUCUGAUGGACCCGAUUUUACUUCCACUCCGACAUAGCUAAUGCAGAAAAUAUGAUAAUACCAGAGGAGGAAGCGAGCUUAGCAAAUGAUGAAUUAUAGAGGCUCUCAAAUAUUGGUGAAACAAGAGGAAGGUGAGAGGUCUUAUAGAACUGAAUAGGAUUCUUUUUAUAGAACUGUUAUCUAUGGUAUGAUGCUUGGUUCAAAAAUAAAAAGGGCUAGAAUGGGAGAAAGGGUCAUCAGUGUGAACUAAAAGUCUAUUGUUUUUCUUCUGGGUAUGCUUUGCAUUUUAUUGUCAUGUUUCAUGCUUCAUAGCGUGUGUAUGUGCAUAUAAUUACACACAUAUACACUAGUUUGUAAUGUCACUAUAAAUAGAUGAUUCAUCAGACCAUCAGAGUUUGCAUCAGACUAUAAUCGAUGAUGCAUCAAAUCGAAAGGAGGAUCAUCUGCUACAUCAGGCAUUUACAUGAUAGCUUGUUUCUAUGUGUACUGUGUAAUAUGAAGUAAAAAAAGUGUAGUUUGAUUCAGUGGCAUGCUUUACCAUUGAAUGAUCUUGAGCAACAUUGCACCAGCACGUGUCUGGGGUGGAAAAGGUCGGGAAAACUAUCCCAGAGUCCAGCCUGAACUUAUAUUCAAAGCAAUGGGUGUUGAGCCUGAUAUUAUGUUUGCUGGACAACUCGAAUCUAAAAGUGCAGGUCAAGAAACACCAGAACUAUUUAAUGUUUCUAUAUUUUUUAUUUACUCUGUCGUUUGUUUAUGUUUCCAGAUUACUGUCGAGAUGUAGCUCGUUUGGUUCAUAUAAAUCUUAUUCCAAGCCUUUAUAUAGUUGUUUUAGGUCUAAUAUUUCACAGCAUUUCGAAGCCAUUAAAGUUAUCAUUGACUUACACUGCACUGAACAUAUAAAAGUUAUCUUUUAUUUCACUCAAGUUUAACCUCAAGCCUAAGACUUAUUGGUCGAUAAGCACUGCUAAUGUUCAGAUUGAAAACAAAGCCCUAGAUCAGUGACAGAGUAACUAUCUGGUGCUUCAACCCAUCCAGAGAUGAAUUCUGCACCCGAGUUUCUUCCUUCUUGUUGAAAAAAGUUAAGGGGCCCCUCCUCAUGUUGUGUUGAUUUAUAGUGUCCAGAUUGGUUAAGUUCCACCUUGCUCGAUGAAAGAUCUGCUUAUAGUACUUGAGAAAGGAAUUAUCAGUUCCUAAAUUCGGCUCGAGAGUCAAGUUAUUAUUAUGUUCUAUCAGAUCUAGUCCAUUAACAAAAUAGGAGUUGCUUCCUCUUUUGCAUUUAUGAUAAUUAGCGGAGUUGCAUGGUCUCACAAUGUUUAUGUGGUGGUUAGUUGCUCGGGCUUUUUUCUUGUAUUUCAAUACUAGAAAAUAGAAGAGGCUAUCAAUGUCAGCACAAAGCUGUUGGGCUAUAGCAAUGUAACUAAUCAAGUUUCACAACGGCCUGUUGGUUCUCAAUCGUUGUAGUUCAGAGCUGUAUGUUUAGUUUAAACUCGAGCUAACUCUGGCCGAUGUAGAUGGUUUCCAAUAUAAUGCUACAUAAUUUCCCCUUUUGUAUUCGUCACCCUUGUUUGGCACUACUUUUUUUAUCAGCAUAUGCAAACUUUCAUGUAACAUGCAAACUCUCAUGGAUCUGUACGUGUGUUUGUAAGAACUUGAAUGCUGGUUUGAUGAUUUAUUUUCUACGAAGUUGGGCAUAUAUUCAUGGCUGUUUCUUGAUAACAUUGCAUGUAACUGGGUUUCUUCAUUGCACUUAAAUAAGUCUGUUUUUAGCUUUGGCCUAUAUGCUGCCUAAUUAAACUUGAAAAUUAGAGAGAAACAAGAAAGAUCUGCUUAUAGUACUUGAGAAAGGAAUUAUCAGUUCCUAAAUUCGGCUCGAGAGUCAAGUUAUUAUUAUGUUCUAUCAGAUCUAGUCCAUUAACAAAAUAGGAGUUGCUUCCUCUUUUGCAUUUAUGAUAAUUAGCGGAGUUGCAUGGUCUCACAAUGUUUAUGUGGUGGUUAGUUGCUCGGGCUUUUUUCUUGUAUUUCAAUACUAGAAAAUAGAAGAGGCUAUCAAUGUCAGCACAAAGCUGUUGGGCUGUAGCAAUGUAACUAAUCAAGUUUCACAACGGCCUGUUGGUUCUCAAUCGUUGUAGUUCAGAGCUGUAUGUUUAGUUUAAACUCGAGCUAACUCUGGCCGAUGUAGAUGGUUUCCAAUAUAAUGCUACAUAAUUUCCCCUUUUGUAUUCGUCACCCUUGUUUGGCACUACUUUUUUUAUCAGCAUAUGCAAACUUUCAUGUAACAUGCAAACUCUCAUGGAUCUGUACGUGUGUUUGUAAGAACUUGAAUGCUGGUUUGAUGAUUUAUUUUCUACGAAGUUGGGCAUAUAUUCAUGGCUGUUUCUUGAUAACAUUGCAUGUAACUGGGUUUCUUCAUUGCACUUAAAUAAGUCUGUUUUUAGCUUUGGCCUAUAUGCUGCCUAAUUAAACUUGAAAAUUAGAGAGAAACAAGAAAACUAGGAGAAAUGCAUAGAUUUAAUUAGAGAGGAAGUGCAAUCAAGUAUUUGUUUACUUUUUAUUUAAGCAAGACAGUUUGUUGAACAUCUUCUGUUUUUAGAUUUUUGGACUCAAGAGCAACUCAGAAGUUUGAACAAAUGCUGCUAUGAUAAUAUUGCUGAAACAUAUGAGUGAUUUUACAGGGUAUAAUGGCAGAAGGUAUCAAAUCGAAGAUGUUAUGGCUUUUCUUCAUGGGAUGCAUGGUCGACCUACUUUCAUAUGGAAGUUGUUGUUGGUUCGAUGAACAAAGACUUGGUGUGUUCCAUAGUGUUUUGUAUAGUGACUAGACAUGAGUCUCUUAUGAACUUAGCCCGUAUUUUGUAACAUGUCACAGCUUAUAUGUCGACCUAUGUAUUUCCUUAGUGGUUGUAGCUAACUUGAGUGAAGAAAACUAAUGAAUCUUCUAUAUGUUGAAUAUAUAUGUAUUUAUCAA